AGUGAACGCUGGCGGUAGGCCUAACACAUGCAAGUCGAACGGCAGCACAGUAAGAGCUUGCUCUUACGGGUGGCGAGUGGCGGACGGGUGAGGAAUACAUCGGAAUCUACUUUUUCGUGGGGGAUAACGUAGGGAAACUUACGCUAAUACCGCAUACGACCUACGGGUGAAAGCAGGGGAUCUUCGGACCUUGCGCGAUUGAAUGAGCCGAUGUCGGAUUAGCUAGUUGGCGGGGUAAAGGCCCACCAAGGCGACGAUCCGUAGCUGGUCUGAGAGGCUGAUCGGCCACACUGGAACUGGGACAGGGUCAAGACUCCUACGGGAGGCAGCAGUGGGGAAUAUUGGACAAUGGGCGCAAGCCUGAUCCAGCCAUACCGCGUGGGUGAAGAAGGCCUUCGGGUUGUAAAGCCCUUUUGUUGGGAAAGAAAGGCAGCAGGUUAAUACCCCGCUGUUCUGACGGUACCCAAAGAAUAAGCACCGGCUAACUUCGUG
rnacentral:rRNA from 1 species